GCACUUAAGGUUCGAUGUUGUAUAGUAGCUUCGGAAUAUGAGAUGGAGACCGGAUGUUGUUCGGAGUCUCGGAUGGGAUCCAAGACAUCACGAGGAGGUCCGGAAUGGUCCGGAGAAUAAGAUUCAUAAAAGGGAAGUUGAUUUCUAUGUUUCAGAAAAGUUCGGGAUUUUCCUGGUGGAAGACCGGAAAGGUUCUAGAAGGUUCCGAGGGUCCACCAAUGGGCCCAUGACCCUAGGAGGGACAACAUGGGCCGAGGGGGUGCAGCCUAGCCCUAAUGGGCCAGGGGCACAUGCCCCUCAAGGCCCAAGUCGGCCAGCCCACUAGGGUUCCCCAAAACUCUAAGGGGGUCAACUUGGGGGAAGAAAACUCCCCCUCUUGGCCGCCGGCCCUAGAUCUAUUUGGGGCAUGGGGGCCACCCCAAACCGACCUCCCCUCCUAUAUAAAGAGGGGAGGGGGCAGGGGGCGCACACCCUUGAAACCCUAGCCCUGAUGCCCCCUCUCUCCUCCACCGCUAGUCUGCUUCGGCUUGGCGAAGCCCUGGAGCUUUUCUCCUCUACCACCACCACCACGUCGUCGUGCUGCUGGGAUUCCAUGGGGAUCUACCACACCUACGCUGCCCACUGGAACGGGGAGAGGAAGGACUUCACCGACACCGUACGCGCGAUCGAUUACGGAAGUGUUGUCGGAUUGCAGCACAGGGCGAUCGACUACAUCAACAACGAGAUCUAAUAUCGUAGGCUUUGGAAUCUUUGAGGGUUAGUCUCACAUACAUCUCUGCUUCGACCUUCAUAGUUUAGAUCUUGCUUCUUCCUAGAUUAGAUCUUGGUUUUUGUUUAUGUUCACGGUAGAAAUUUUUUGUUUUCCAUGCAACGGACCCAUCAUUAACGUGCUGGAAUGGGAUGAGGGAUGUUCCAUCAACUCACCUGCUCGUCGGUGCCGCACUACAAUCACCAGAUGAAGUCGCAGAUCGUCCGCCAUCGCCUCUAUCUGGGGGUAAACGUCGCGGCCUUCUUCCACAUAGAGGCGCCAUGGCUGCAAGGGAAAGCGGAGAUGGAAAGGGGAGAGAUGAGAGCUGCGCCGGAUCAUGAACAAACAGCCGUCAAUCAUCCACAUACCUCGCCAUCGUUGUUGGGAGAGAAGAUGCAGCGGGCGAUCGCGCCCCCAGGUGACGACCAGGUGCGUCCGUGCAGCGUGCGUCUUGAUGGCCCAGGUGUCCGUCUCAACCCUGCCAGCGUGGAUCAAACCAGAGUCCACCGUGGCCAAACUAGAGCACAAAACAGCUAAUGAAUACUUAAGGGGGUAAUCUCUCCGGUUUUUGAUACUUAGGGAGGUAAUUUGCUCCACUUAAUAGUUAAGGGGGGUUAGCGUCCGUAACCCAAUACUUAGGGGGGUGAUUUGGACUUCUUUCCCCAACUUCAUAUCACCUUAAUUUAUGCAACUAGAUGAUUUUCCGCAGUUGCUGCAGGAACUUUUGAAUAAAAUUGCUAUUUUUAUCUAUUUUACCACAAAAAUGAAGUAUUAGUGUUAGUAAUUACUUAUUUCAAGUAAGUUUGUAUGAGUUAAAUUCUAAGUACUAUAUAUAACUAUUUUUUUUAUUUCCACUAAUCUAUUUCUCUUGACAUGCAGCAUAUCCACCUUAGCGGGCCCACCAUGCUACCCAUUCUUUCACUUGAACAUGCAAGGUGAAUUAACGACCGAAGAUCGAGGAAUGGGGCCCCAUUGCCAAAUUGAGGCGGAGGGAGGCAGGCCACAACGAGGGGGAGCUCAAGCUGAAGAAGGGCCAUGGGCUAGGCCUCUGCGUUGCCAGCGGCGGCGGUUCGAACUUCGGAGGGAGGCAACGAGAAUCCCUUUGAACCUAACUCGCUCACCUACAUCUUGGAAGAUAAGGAUGUGAUUGUAUUUAUCUUCACAUUGCCCGGUGAUUGGUUUAAUUCACAGUACUUUGUUUGCAUACUAGAGUACAUAUUGUACUGUGCGAAACUGAUGGAAGGUACUGGAUUGUGCGAGCUCUGGUCCUGCUUGUGCAGAAGCAACAAUAUUCAUAUUCAGUGCUACUUUAUUUUCUCCUUAUUUGGCUAUCUAAAUGGAAGAUGAAUUGGUUAUUAUUACCUACCCAGAAUCACUGUAACAAUGGAUAGAACCGUGGUGGAUAAUGUAGUAGAAUUUCCAGGUCUGUUGUUUUCCGAAUGACAACAAACUCUCUGUAGGGUGUGUAUAUGUGCAUCCAACAGAUAAAUACUCCCCCGUUUUAUACUACUAGGAAAAUGGUCCGUGCGUUGCCACGGCUGGAUUAUCGAAUGACACAAAUUUAGUUGUGAAAUAAGUCUGUAUCGUUUCACAAAUUUUUAUAUCAAACUUUUUAUUAUUUUGCACAUACUUCCUAGGAAAAUAAUUUCAUUAUUGUAGCCCAAUAUUCCUAAUAAAAGCGUGAAGAUCAAAUUGACGAUUAAAUAUCCAAUUGUAUAUGCACAUAAAGAUGAACUACAUUUCUCAAGCUGUCAAAAGUAUGAAUUUCUAGUCAACUUUGAGAAAUAUUUCAUGGGAUUCAUCAUUUGCAAGUCGCAACCGUGUCUUCUAGAAAAUCAUUGACAAAAACGCAAAAGAAAAUUAUUUACAACUCAACCAUUCUCUAGAGAGAGUGUAAGCACAUAACUUCUAUUUUUUCAGAAAAUGAUGUUAAGAUAGUUAUUGAUAAACCACAGCACAAAACCUUCAAACUUACAUGGCUGGUACAAAGGUAUUGCACGAAUACAUCUACAAGUUAAUUUAUCUAUCUUAUAAAUAUGUACAAACCUAGAACCAAAGGUAAAUAUAUGCCCCUACAAGCUUUUGAAGUCAAUCCAAACCUGCAUACAACCCGGAGGUCCUUAUGAACUACUCGACAACCAGAAGAAUGCAUUCGUAUGUACCUUUAUUUUUUUUCCCUUAACCAUGCUUUCUUCCAAAGAAUCAAGAUUUGAUGCUAUGUAAAUAUCAUUAAAGAGCAAGAAAAGAAUGAAAGCACAACCUUCUGACGUCAGCGUAUCUAAGGCACCUCUGAAGAUUACAAGGACAACAUACAGCUGAAAACCAUAUCUAAUUAGUUCGUAAUACUAA